GGUUAAGCGACUAAGCGUACACGGUGGAUGCCCAGGCAGUCAGAGGCGAUGAAGGACGUGCUAAUCUGCGUAAAGCGACGGUAAGGUGAUAUGAACCGCUACAGCCGUCGAUGUCCGAAUGGGGAAACCCGGUGCACUCUGUGCAUCAUUGCAGCAUGAAUACAUAGUGCUGCAAGGCGAACCGGGGGAACUGAAACAUCUAAGUACCCCGAGGAAAAGAAAUCAACCGAGAUUCCCCCAGUAGCGGCGAGCGAACGGGGAGCAGCCCAGAGCCUGAAUCAGUUUGUGUGUUAGUGGAAGCGUCUGGAAAGUCGCAGGGUACAGGGUGAUACUCCCGUACACAAAAACACACAUGCUGUGAGCUCGAUGAGUAAGGCGGGACACGUGGUAUCCUGUCUGAAUAUGGGGGGACCAUCCUCCAAGGCUAAAUACUCCUGACUGACCGAUAGUGAACCAGUACCGUGAGGGAAAGGCGAAAAGAACCCCGGCGAGGGGAGUGAAACAGAACCUGAAACCGUGUACGUACAAGCAGUGGGAGCCUUGAUUUAUCAGGGUGACUGCGUACCUUUUGUAUAAUGGGUCAGCGACUUAUAUUCUGUAGCAAGGUUAACCGUAUAGGGGAGCCGCAGGGAAACCGAGUCUUAACUGGGCGUUAAGUUGCAGGGUAUAGACCCGAAACCCGGUGAUCUAGCCAUGGGCAGGUUGAAGGUUGGGUAACACUAACUGGAGGACCGAACCGACUAAUGUUGAAAAAUUAGCGGAUGACCUGUGGCUGGGGGUGAAAGGCCAAUCAAACCGGGAGAUAGCUGGUUCUCCCCGAAAGCUAUUUAGGUAGCGCCUCGUGAACUCAUCUUCGGGGGUAGAGCACUGUUUCGGCUAGGGGGCCAUCCCGGCUUACCAACCCGAUGCAAACUGCGAAUACCGAAGAAUGUUAUCACGGGAGACACACGGCGGGUGCUAACGUCCGUCGUGAAGAGGGAAACAACCCAGACCGCCAGCUAAGGUCCCAAAGUCAUGGUUAAGUGGGAAACGAUGUGGGAAGGCACAGACAGCCAGGAUGUUGGCUUAGAAGCAGCCAUCAUUUAAAGAAAGCGUAAUAGCUCACUGGUCGAGUCGGCCUGCGCGGAAGAUGUAACGGGGCUAAACCAUGCACCGAAGCUGCGGCAGCGACACUAUGUGUUGUUGGGUAGGGGAGCGUUCUGUAAGCCGUCGAAGGUGUGCUGUGAGGCAUGCUGGAGGUAUCAGAAGUGCGAAUGCUGACAUAAGUAACGAUAAAGCGGGUGAAAAGCCCGCUCGCCGGAAGACCAAGGGUUCCUGUUCAACGUUAAUCGGAGCAGGGUGAGUCGACCCCUAAGGCGAGGCCGAAAGGCGUAGUCGAUGGGAAACAGGUUAAUAUUCCUGUACUCGGUGUUACUGCGAAGGGGGGACGGAGAAGGCUAUAUCGGCCGGGCGACGGUUGUCCCGGUUUAAGCGUGUAGGCGGAGGGUCCAGGUAAAUCCGGUCCCUUAUUAACGCUGAGGCGUGACGACGAGGCACUACGGUGCUGAAGUGAUAAAUGCCCAGCUUCCAGGAAAAGCCUCUAAGCAUCAGGUAACACAGAAUCGUACCCCAAACCGACACAGGUGGUCAGGUAGAGAAUACCAAGGCGCUUGAGAGAACUCGGGUGAAGGAACUAGGCAAAAUGGUGCCGUAACUUCGGGAGAAGGCACGCUGGCGCGUAGGUGGAGGGACCUGCUCCCCGAGCCGAAGCCAGUCGAAGAUACCAGCUGGCUGCAACUGUUUAUUAAAAACACAGCACUGUGCAAACACGAAAGUGGACGUAUACGGUGUGACGCCUGCCCGGUGCCGGAAGGUUAAUUGAUGGGGUUAUCCGCAAGGAGAAGCUCUUGAUCGAAGCCCCGGUAAACGGCGGCCGUAACUAUAACGGUCCUAAGGUAGCGAAAUUCCUUGUCGGGUAAGUUCCGACCUGCACGAAUGGCGUAAUGAUGGCCAGGCUGUCUCCACCCGAGACUCAGUGAAAUUGAACUCGCUGUGAAGAUGCAGUGUACCCGCGGCAAGACGGAAAGACCCCGUGAACCUUUACUACAGCUUGACACUGAACAUUGAGCCUUGAUGUGUAGGAUAGGUGGGAGGCUUUGAAGCGCGGACGCCAGUUCGCGUGGAGCCAACCUUGAAAUACCACCCUUUAAUGUUUGAUGUUCUAACGUAGGCCCGUGAUCCGGGCUGCGGACAGUGUCUGGUGGGUAGUUUGACUGGGGCGGUCUCCUCCUAAAGAGUAACGGAGGAGCACGAAGGUCAGCUAAUCACGGUCGGACAUCGUGAGGUUAGUGCAAUGGCAUAAGCUGGCUUGACUGCGAGAGUGACGGCUCGAGCAGGUGCGAAAGCAGGUCAUAGUGAUCCGGUGGUUCUGAAUGGAAGGGCCAUCGCUCAACGGAUAAAAGGUACUCCGGGGAUAACAGGCUGAUACCGCCCAAGAGUUCAUAUCGACGGCGGUGUUUGGCACCUCGAUGUCGGCUCAUCACAUCCUGGGGCUGAAGUAGGUCCCAAGGGUACGGCUGUUCGCCGUUUAAAGUGGUACGCGAGCUGGGUUUAGAACGUCGUGAGACAGUUCGGUCCCUAUCUGCCGUGGGCGCUGGAGAAUUGAGGGGGGUUGCUCCUAGUACGAGAGGACCGGAGUGAACGCACCACUGGUGUUCGGGUUGUCAUGCCAAUGGCAUUGCCCGGUAGCUAAGUGCGGAAAAGAUAAGUGCUGAAAGCAUCUAAGCACGAAACUUGCCCCGAGAUGAGUUCUCCCUGACUCCUUGAGAGUCCUGAAGGGACGUUGAAGACUACGACGUUGAUAGGCCGGGUGUGUAAGCGCAGCGAUGCGUUGAGCUAACCGGUACUAAUGACCCGUGAGGCUUAACCUU
rnacentral:rRNA from 1 species